rnacentral:tRNA from 1 species
GGCGCUGUGGCUGAGCGGUAAAGCGCUUGACUCCCGAUCCGAAGGUCUCGGGUUCGAAUCCCGGUGAAGACU